AUGUUGCUGAAUACACAUUUCCACAGUCCAACCAGGAAUCACAUCUGGGACAGGGUGAAUAGUGUCUGUGCAGAGAAGACAAAGCCAAGCCAGAAGCACUGCACCUACUGGAUGGACCCACGCUGUGACACCCUACUGUUACUGGUUCUCUUCAGUCUUGUGGCUCAGAAUACAGCCUCCCACACACUGACAUGCAGCAGGAGUCAGAGGCUGCACCCCAACAUGCCUGUUUGAAGCAUCACCCAGUACCUUCAGGUGAAGUUUCAGGUUGCACAGAAUUUUGGACAGCUGCAUGUGUCUGCCACAGCAGCACCCCCAUUGCUUACGGUGAGUCAGUCAUUGUGUGGUCAUAAGUAAACCGUAUCAAAGAGAAAAAUGCUGUAUUUUUAAUUUUUAUUUAUUUAUUUUCUCCAUUACUGCCCUUGCUUAGUGGAAGAGCUUGCACUGGAUCAGCUCUGAGCCGUUCAGCCACACGAUUCCCUAGAUUUGCCUCCAGGGAAGCAGCCAGAGCUGGCUGGUGGGGGAGGAAGGGGAAGGAGCAGUGAAAGGGCUCCUUGUAGGCAGCAGCCCACAGCCACUUUGCUUCAGAUGUAACACGAAACCUCACUCUCAAUGUCACAGCCACGGACAUUGUCAGCCGGGGUAAUGAAGAUGGUUGGGAGGGGGUGGGGGGUGUUAAAAUGGCCCAAAUGCUGAGAUUUGUGUUCAUCAGUUCUUUUUCUCCUUUAUUUUCCUAACACACAGGGCAUCCUGGAAAGGCAGAAGGAGCAGCAACAUCAAUUUAGAGGGGCUGAGAAACAAAAUUGGUAACAGAGGGUGGGAUCCAUCACUUGUACCAUAGCAGGAUCCAGAGGUAUCCCUACUUGGGCCUUUGAGACAAAAUACAUUUUUAAGAUGCUUGGGCAUUUAAUAACAUUUCUACUCAAUUUACAGACUCACAGAAUAGCUCACUCCGUCUUUUGUUGUCUUUAGAACAUCCAUAACUUCGAUAAGAUCACCUGGCUUAAUAAAAACAAAGAAAGAUUUUCCCAGGAAUUCUGCAUCAUGAGGGUGGUUUCUUUUGUGAUAUGGUAAUUCUAGGAAAGCAGAGCAGUAUGUGAGGGGUCCUUGCCUCUGACUUCUUGGCAUCAUAUAGCACAAAUUUUCUGGUAUUGCUUACAAUCUCAAAAAAAUAAAAUAAAAUAAAGGAAAAGAAAAGAAAUGGAAAAAAAAAAAAAAGACAAAAGAAAAAAGAGAAGUUGAAACCAUGGGUUGUAAUGGCAGCAAAAUUUGGAGUUGGCUGCAGCAUACUGCUUGUUAAAUGCUGUUGUCCCUGGGCCAAAGAGGGUUAGGUAUCUGGCAAUAAUUUAUACCUGUUUUAAAACUUCCUUCAAGAAAAUUUACUAAAUGACUGCCUUCUCAAAUCCUAAAUGGAUUUGUGGAAAAAUGUUUACUCCCCAGAAAGCCUCAUUUCUUGGCUUAUUAUAGACAAAAAUCAAUAACAUGCAGUCUCUCAACAAGGUUUUUCUCUUCAGGAUUAUUUAAAGCUGUAGAGCUAACAAACAGUUUCCUUUAUAUUUCUGAGGUUGGUUAGUGGGGUAGUGUUAUGAUUAUGAGGAUGAAACCCUGAAGAAGCCUAAAGUAACUUAAGAAAUAUUUCCUAGUUUCUCAGGAAAUCCCUGUGGUUGGUUGUUACGAAAUUCUCUGCAUCCAGCAUAAUGCAGUAUUGGCUGGACCAGCACGGGGUAAAACAACCUGUGGCGUGGUGACUACCUACUUGCUAUUUGUUCAGGAUGGUGCAGACACUGCAACGGGGAAAUAAAUUAUACAAGAAAAAGUAAACGUAAUGGUAAUUUCGAAGGAAAUGCCAAGAUUUAGAGAGAAAACAGUAGUCUCAGUGUAGGAAAGAUUCUCAGCUCUCUCCUCUGGGAAAGUUUAGACAAAAAAAUAAUAAUAAUCUGUCUUCCUGCCUGUGACUUCAUUCUCCAGUUACUGAAGUAAAAAGCAAUAUUCCCAUUGACUGAAGCUGUGCAAUUAUGUGUCUUGACUGCCUUCGAGAUAAAUCAUCAAUCUUCACUCUGCUAAAAUAGGAACUUACAAUCCCCUUUCAAGAUUAUUAACAUUUAUAUACCAAGAAAUACCUGGCCUUUUUUCUGGAAGCACCAGGGAAGACUACAAAGGUUUUGGACAAAAUGUAUCACGCAAAUGAUUUGACAAGAAGCCAUCAUCAGUCAAAGGCACGGGUCAGUGAUUUUACAUAUGUACCUCGCCAGCAGCUAGUUUUCCUUCGGUCUUAAUAAUUCAUAGCACAAAAUAAAUUAGAUUCCUAAAUAAUACUGCCCCUUCUAAAUGGAAACAAUUGAAAAAAUAGGUUAAAACGUUAAACUUUAUGAACAAUGGAUUCCUAGGUAUAGAUUUUACAUGGAAACAUAAUAUUUAACUGGUAAAGCUGAGGGCUCUUGUACACUGGUGAAUGUCUGUACCGGCAUGCAGCUUGUCACAGAAGCAAGAGAUCCUAAUAUGAAAAUAGUGGAUCAUUUCCGUUGCCUUUUCUCGAGUAAGACUGCCAUUUGCUUUCAAUAAAAGAUUGUCUGAGUGAAGACAAUAGAAGCAGGUCCCGUAUUUGAGAAGCAAGAACAAACACAAGUAAAUAGGAACCAGGAACGAAGGAGAAGGAGCCAAAAAUAAAUAAACCGGAGGAAAAAGAGCAAGAGAAAUAGGCGGUUUAAUGAGACCGGGAGUGUGGAGAUUAAGUCAAUUUUCAUGCUAGUUUUAAAGCCAAAUUAUAAAGAAAGCAACAGCUCUUAUAUACAAAAAAAUAUGGGUAGACAUGUUUUGGCACAGCAUGCUUUCCUCAGUACACAUGGGGGCUAUCACCUUGUUUUGUUUUGUUUUGUUUUAGAAGGCCUAAAGAGAUGCUCUUAAGUGUGAAAACAUCUUGGAAUAAAUCACAUUAUAACUUUUGCUAAACUGUGUUUUCUCCUCUGUUUUGUGUUACGAGCUGAGUUUGUGAGCCCUGCACGCAGCCUCAUGAUGCCUCUGGCUUCUCUGAAGCAGUAACUUCUGAAUACAGUUUCUGGAGUUGCAGGGAAUAUUCGUGGCAUGAGUGGGCAGAACUUUGUUGAGUUUGGUAAACAUUUAAUAAUGCAGAAGGAUGUAGAAAAGGGUGCAGAGCCUUUUCCAUUUGUUUAUCAGAGCUGCAGUUUGAGGUACUUUUGUAACUGUAUACUGAAUCAAAAAUCCAUUAAGGAUACAUAUCCAAGAUAACAGUGCUCAUUCAUCCUCUCCCCCAGUCCUUUCAAUAGAGCUGAACACAUCCACGCUGCAUAAUUCCUCUCCUAGACAGAAAGAAAACAUAACAGCGGUGGGGGAAUGGGUGCGAACUCAGCCCUGAGGUAAGGAGGGAAGGAGAUGGGGGGAGCCUGAACCAGAAAGAAAAACAGAGCACAAAAUCCUUAGCACAGAAUGAAGUCCUUAGCAUAGGGCGAGUAGGGUAAAGUGAGCCACAAAGAAGAAAAAUGAGAGGAAGACAAAUUCCUUGCAGGAGGUGGAAGGGUAAUGGCAAGGGAGAAGGGUUUGUACAGAGAGCUUUUGGCAUGAGAAAAGAAUUAAGAUCCUAGCAGAAAAAUUGGGGUACACUGGUGUGUCUGUCUCUGGAUGAUGGGAGGUGGAGAGUCAUGGUACCUGCUUAAAACAGGGAGCAGGUGAAGAGGAUGCUGAGCUACCAGGAAGGUCAUAAAAUAAUGACUGUAAUGUCUGAGGUUUGAAAGAUGGGGCUGAGGGAUAUGGGGAACCCUGAAACUGAAAUGGAAGCUGUCACACUGAGAGCUUUUUUUGCGUGCAAUUUGAAAGAUGGCUUUAAA
ensembl:lncRNA